AUGAAGGUACGAAAAAUAACGAAAUCAAACAUUUUAAAUUGAUCAAUUGACAAAGUUCUCAAUUUCAAUCUAUACCAAAAUAACAAACAACAUAAAAUUCAUCAACUUUCUUUCAAUCUCCCUACAUUUCUCAGCAACCAAACAAAGAGUAAUUGCAAAACAUUGAAAACACAGAGAAGAACAAAGACCAAACCUGUAAAUGUCGAAGCUGAGUUCUCUGUAAAACAGCUGAGGAAAUUCCUCCCUCAGAGUCCGAAUCGCAUACCCCAUAUUC
rnacentral:lncRNA from 1 species